rnacentral:lncRNA from 1 species
GUUUGUAAAUGCACCAAUCAGUGCUCUGUGUCUAGCUAAUCUACUGGGGACUUGGAGAACUUUUGCGGCUAGGUAAAGGAUUGUAAACGGACCAAUCAGCUCUCUGUAAAACGGACCAAUCAGCUCUCUGUAAAAUGGACCAAUCAGCUCUCUGUAAAAUGGACCAAUCAGCAGGAUGUGGGUGGAGUCAGACAAGGGAAUAAAAGCAUACUGC